GGAAGGCAGACCCGGGGAACUGAAACAUCUAAGUACCCGGAGGAAGAGAAAGCAAAUGCGAUUCCCUGAGUAGCGGCGAGCGAAACGGGAUCAGCCCAAACCAAGAGGCUUGCCUCUUGGGGUUGUAGGACACUCUGUACGGAGUUACAAAGGAACGAGGUAGAUGAAGAGGUCUGGAAAGGCCCGCCAUAGGAGGUAACAGCCCUGUAGUCAAAACUUCGUUCUCUCCUGAGUGGAUCCUGAGUACGGCGGAACACGUGAAAUUCCGUCGGAAUCCGGGAGGACCAUCUCCCAAGGCUAAAUACUCCCUAGUGACCGAUAGUGAACCAGUACCGUGAGGGAAAGGUGAAAAGC
rnacentral:rRNA from 1 species